UACGGAGGGGGCUAGCGUUGUUCGGAAUUACUGGGCGUAAAGGGCUCGUAGGCGGCCAACUAAGUCAUACGUGAAAUCCCUCGGCUUAACCGGGGAACUGCGUCUGAUACUGGAUGGCUUGAGUUCGGGAGAGGGAUGCGGAAUUCCAGGUGUAGCGGUGAAAUGCGUAGAUAUCUGGAGGAACACCGGUGGCGAAGGCGGCAUCCUGGACCGAUACUACGCUGGAGGAGCGAAAGCGUGGGGAGCAAACAGGG
rnacentral:rRNA from 1 species